AACGAACGCUGGCGGCAUACCUAACACAUGCAAGUCGAACGAGACCUUCGGGUCUAGUGGCGCACGGGUGCGUAACGCGUGGGAACCUGCCCUUAGUUUGGGAUUACCUCCCGGAAGGGGUUCCAAAUCCCGAUUAUUUUCUUCGACCAAAGGAUUUAUCGCCUUUGGAUGGGCCCGCGUUGGAUUAGCUAGUUGGUAGGGUAAAAGCCUACCAAGGCGACGAUCCAUAGCUGGUCUGAGAGGAUGAUCAGCCACACUGGGACUGAGACACGGCCCAGACUCCUACGGGAGGCAGCAGUGGGGAAUAUUGGACAAUGGGCGAAAGCCUGAUCCAGCAAUGCCGCGUGAGUGAUGAAGGCCUUAGGGUUGUAAAGCUCUUUUACCCGGGAUGAUAAUGACAGUACCGGGAGAAUAAGCUCCGGCUAACUCCGUG
rnacentral:rRNA from 1 species